rnacentral:lncRNA from 1 species
CCCUGAGCUAACUGCUGCCAAUCCUCCUUAUUUUCGCUGAGGAAGACAGGCUCUGAGCUAACAUCCAUGCCUAUCUUCCUCUACUUUAUACGUGGGAUGCCUAUCAAGCAUGGCUUUUGCCAAGCGGUGCCAUGUCCGCACCAGGGAUCCGAAGUGGCAAACCCCAGGCCGUCCAAAGCGGAACGUGCGCACUUAACCACUGCGCCACUGGGCCGGCCAAUAUUUCUUACUUUUUGAUGGUCAUUCUCACUUUAGGAAUUCUGGCUUUCAAUAAAGGUGAAGUAGCUUAUAUCAGACUAGCCCUCCUGUUGGUAACAACUAGAAACUCUGUGGAAAAGAACUACUGUUUGAAGCCACGGAAGAGUGACAAAAUCAUCACAAACUAAAGGAGAUUCCAUCUUUGAAAGAGGAGAACCACAUUGUUGGAGAUCCACACUUAUAUGCUUUUCCCCUAAUGGCACUUCCCAGUCUACAGCCCAGGGUAGAUAGAACUUGAGCAAAACAUUAGCUUGAGGAGUCAGGGGAGACACUCAGGGGCUGCCAGAGUGGCUAGAAGUUGAGAGGGGGAAAUUCUGUAAAGGAGAGUAACAAAUGAGAAAAGCCCCAAAUCUAUGUAUAACACCACUCAGAUCCUUGACUGACUCCUAAACUGCAGAUAUAUACAGUAUUGGGGAAAGGCAACAGUUAGAAGAAACUUCAGUGAAUGCACAGUCAGAUUUUGAAAUUAGAGCUCUGCCAAGUAAGAGUGGAUUGAUAAACACGUCAGGAUUUCCAUUAAAGUCCCAGAAGCACCACAUUUUAAGAUUAAAAACUACAAACCAGGGAGCCGGCCAGGUGGUACAGUGGUUAAGUUUACACAUUCUGCUUCAGCAGCCUGGGGUUCGCCAGUUCAGAUCCCAGGCAUGGACUUACACACCUUUUGUCAAGCCAUGCUGUGGCAGGAAUCCCACAUAUAAAGUAGAGGAAGAUGGGCAUGGAUGCUAGCUCAGGGCCAGUCUUCCUCAGCGAAAAGAGGAGGCCUGGUGGCAGAUGUUAGCUCAGGGCUAAUCUUCCUUAAAAAAAAAACAACAAAACUACAAACCAGGACUAAGUGUGACUUGCCAACAAUUAAACCUCCUGAUAGAA